CUGGGACCCCUCGGGGCUGCAGCUGAGCUCAGACCAUGCCUUUCCAGGUUUCCAGGCCCAUGCCUCAUUGUCCUCACUGGGAAAGACAGAAAAAUAAGAGCCAGAAGAAAGCAAAUCUGAAAAGAUGCUGAAGAGGUGAAGACAGAAAAAAUGGAUGGCAACCAGGAACAGAUAAUGAACACAGGGCUUUCAAGUGCCUUUCUUACUGAUGUGCAGGAAUAGAUCUGAGAAGUGAUGCUCUCCAGAUGUUUAUUUCUCAUUUGUGCAUCCUGAAGUUUCAAGUCAUCCUCGGACAGGCAGAAAACUUCUUUUUAAAAUCCACUGUCCAGAAUAUUGUUCUGAUAUUUUACAGGGAAAGGAAAUUCACUUUUCAUGAAUGAGGAGAAGAAAUGCCUGAUUUUGAUACUUAUUUUUAAUUAUCUAUCUUUUAAGGUCCACUAGUAUUGGUGCAUGACGACUGGUCAUACUGUUAAAUAUAUAGCACAAAAAAAUAGAGAUUUCUUGCCUAUGGCAUAUGAGGGAAGCAGUAGGGAAGCACUUCCCACUGGCAGCCAAGUAAUCAAAACACACCCAUGAUUUCCUUUGACACUACUAAAUUUAGAGAAAGGAAUAUGAAAAACUGGCUUCCUGCAUGUGGUCUACCUUUCAAGGCACAAAAUAAAGUGUAGAUUGGA